UGGGGAAUAUUGCACAAUGGGCGCAAGCCUGAUGCAGCCAUGCCGCGUGUAUGAAGAAGGCCUUCGGGUUGUAAAGUACUUUCAGCGGGGAGGAAGGGAGUAAAGUUAAUACCUUUGCUCAUUGACGUUACCCGCAGAAGAAGCACCGGCUAACUCCGUGCCAGCAGCCGCGGUAAUACGGCGGGUGCAAGCGUUAAUCGGAAUUACUGGGCGUAAAGCGCACGCAGGCGGUUUGUUAAGUCAGAUGUGAAAUCCCCGGGCUCAACCUGUGAACUGCAUCUGAUACUGGCAAGCUUGAGUCUCGUAGAGGGGGGUAGAAUUCCAGGUGUAGCUGUGAAAUGCGUAGAGAUCUGGAGGAAUACCGGUGGCGAAGGCGGCCCCCUGGACGAAGACUGACGCUCAGGUGCGAAAGCGUGGGGCGCAAACAGG
rnacentral:rRNA from 1 species